ACGUGGCGGCCAUGAUGGUAGGAGUUCUAUCUAUUGUCGCGUCGUGCUCCGCGCAGGGAGAGCGCACAUGGCUGCGGUGUUAACUUCCAGAGGAAUACGAAAAACAAGUCUCUGGAGUCUGGAACAUGCUAAUUCUGGCACAGUAGCAGGUCAAGCUGUUCUUCUAUGGCAACGGAUUUGGAAGUAGCGAGCACACUAAUUCCUCGCGGCUCCUGAAAGUGACCAUUUUUGACUUGCCAAUGAGUACGUCAUCAUGAAUGUCAACGUCAAGCACACCAAUGAGUUUCUUGGCACCAAGAUGACACCAGAUGGCACCAAAACUGUUACUGCUUUGGCCUGAGCACAAAAACAGCAAAUAGGGGUUGAACCGAUGAGACGACGAGUUGACUUUACUACUCCACAUUGACAUUUAAAGUUGAGUAAUCACUAAUUACGUGUUUUUGGCAUCUUGUCUUCCGAUUGCCCAAAUUAUACAGGAGUUACGACUCGCCUGUCUGCUGCCCUCGCAGGACUAUAACACUCUUUAGAGCAGCGAAAUGUCCGCUCGACAUAGUCUUCAUAUGUAUGCGCCAGUACGAACAUAAGCUGGUUGUGGCACCGGCAGGACCAAUCGGAGCAAGGGCAGCGUCAUGAAGUGAAUCUCCAUCUUUGUAACCAACAUUUUAUGUCCAAUAAUGCGUGGACAGCAACGGUGCGAUUACGAGAACUUCAUUUGUAUCACAACACGCACUCACCAACAUCACACAACACAUGUCACAGGACGGCAUACGGCCAUACAAGUGUGUGGAAAUAUUUUGCCAAAAAAUAAGCCCAGUAGCAUGGUGAAAAAUAUAUAAGUCUAUC